GACGAACGCUGGCGGCGUGCUUAACACAUGCAAGUCGAGCGGUAAGGCCCUUUUGGGGGUACACGAGCGGCGAACGGGUGAGUAACACGUGGGUGACCUGCCCUCAGCUCUGGGAUAAGCCUGGGAAACUGGGUCUAAUACUGGAUAUGACCUUUCCUCGCAUGGGGUUGGGUGGAAAGUUUUCGGCUGGGGAUGGGCCCGCGGCCUAUCAGCUUGUUGGUGGGGUGAUGGCCUACCAAGGCGACGACGGGUAGCCGGCCUGAGAGGGCGACCGGCCACACUGGGACUGAGACACGGCCCAGACUCCUACGGGAGGCAGCAGUGGGGAAUAUUGCGCAAUGGGCGGAAGCCUGACGCAGCGACGCCGCGUGGGGAUGAC
rnacentral:rRNA from 1 species